rnacentral:tRNA from 1 species
UGUCCGGUAGACGAAUUGGCAAAGUCAACAGUCUUUGAAACUGUAGUUCAUUAGAACAUUGGAGGUUCGAUCCCUUCCUGGACAC